AUUGAACGCUGGCGGCAGGCCUAACACAUGCAAGUCGAACGAGUGGCGGACGGGUGAGCAAUGUCUGGGAAACUGCGUGAUGGAGGGGGAUAACUACUGGAAACGGUAGCUAAUACCGCAUACCAUCAGAUGUGUCCAGAUGGGAUUAGCUUGUUGGUGGGGUAAAGGCUCACCAAGGCGACGAUCCCUAGUUGGUCUGAGAGGAUGCCCAGCCACACUGGAACUGAGACACGGUGCAGACUCCUACGGGAGGCAGCAGUGGGGAAUAUUGGACAAUGGGCGCAAGCCUGAUGCAGCCAUGCCGCGUGUAUGAAGAAGGCCUUCGGAUUGUAAAGUACUUUCAGCGGGGAGGCGUUACCCUCAGAAUAAGCACCGGCUAACUCCGUGCCAGCCGCCGCGGUAAUAC
rnacentral:rRNA from 1 species